AACGAACGCUGGCGGCAUGCCUAACACAUGCAAGUCGGAUGUGCCGCAAGGUGCAUGGCAGACGGGUGAGUAACGCGUAGGGAAUCUACCUUUUUGUGGGGAAUAACGCUCCGAAAGGAGUGGUAAUACCGCAUGAGACCGUGGCCUGGGAUGGUUACGGUGAAACCUGGGGACCGCAAGGCCUGGGGCAAAAAGAGGAUCCUGCGUCUGAUUAGCUAGUUGGCGGGUAAUGGCCCACCAAGGCGACGAUCAGUAGCCGGCCUGAGAGGGUGAUCGGCCACACUGGAACUGAGACACGGUCCAGACUCCUACGGGAGGCAGCAGUGGGAAUAUUGGACAAUGGGCGCAAGCCUGAUCCAGCAAUGCCGCGUGGGUGAUGAAGGCCUUCGGUUGUAAGCCCUUUGGCGGGACGGAUGAUGACGGUA
rnacentral:rRNA from 1 species